rnacentral:lncRNA from 1 species
GAAAGGUGAAUCAUGAUCUUAAAUAUAGUAAUAUGGAUGAUUAUUAUCCACGAAACCUCUGAAAUUCACCUUUUUCAUUUAGUUACUCAAAGGUUAUUGUUUAAUAUUAUUACUGUUGUGAUUGCUUUGGACCUCAGGUAAUUACAUGUUUGGGAAUCGAAGAAGUUAAAUAAGUAUAUUUAUGAACAACAGCAAGUUGCCAAGAAUCCUUAUUUCUUCGCCAAAUCACGAGACGGAUAAUAAGUCUUAUAGUGGUGGAGGAUGCUAGAUAUUCCCUCCUUGACCAAGGACUUUCGUGAGAGGAAGAUGAAAAACACCAAACUGAACCCUCAUCUAUUGAAAUAACCUUUCUGACUCCAAGAUUAUAAGACACUAGUUAUCCUAAUUUGAUAAUAAUUGGGAUUUACCAAAGAAUAUACUAGUCACUACAAUAUUUUUAUAAUCAAGCACGCUGAGGUUUUCGAAGAAGAGUUAUCAUUAUCAGGAUAAGCAUACGGAAAUGUGGGGAUAUAUUAUAUAAUAUAGGAGUUGAUUUUUUUACCAAAGGAAAUAAACUGAUAUCAUACUAAAGAAGAUCGUAGAUGAUUGGGAUCCAGAGUGGCCAGCUUUAGCUUUUCUGUUAUAAACAAUCUUGUCUUCCUGUAUAUCUUGUGCAAAUCCAUGUAUAAUAUAAAUAUAACUUUAAA